rnacentral:rRNA from 1 species
AACGAACGCUGGCGGCAUGCCUAACACAUGCCAGUCGAACGAGACCUUCGGGUCUAGUGGCGCACGGGUGCGUAACGCGUGGGAACCUGCCCUUAGGUUCGGAAUAACUCCCCGAAAGGGGUGCUAAUACCGGAUAAUGUCUUCGGACCAAAGAUUUAUCGCCUUUGGAUGGGCCCGCGUUGGAUUAGCUAGUUGGUAGGGUAAAAGCCUACCAAGGCGACGAUCCAUAGCUGGUCUGAGAGGAUGAUCAGCCACACUGGGACUGAGACACGGCCCAGACUCCUACGGGAGGCAGCAGUGGGGAAUAUUGGACAAGGGGCGAAAGCCUGAUCCAGCAAUGCCGGGUGAGUGAUGAAGGCCUUAGGGUUGUAAAGCUCUUUUACCCGGGAUGAUAAUGACAGUACCGGGAGAAUAAGCUCCGGCUAACUACGUG